rnacentral:rRNA from 1 species
AUACGGAGGAUCCGAGCGUUAUCCGGAUUUAUUGGGUUUAAAGGGUGCGUAGGUGGUUUGAUAAGUCAGCGGUGAAAGUUUGCAGCUUAACUGUAAAAAUGCCGUUGAAACUGUCGGACUUGAGUGUAAAUGAGGUAGGCGGAAUGCGUGGUGUAGCGGUGAAAUGCAUAGAUAUCACGCAGAACUCCGAUUGCGAAGGCAGGUUAAUAAGCUUAAACGUACCCUGAAGCACGAAAGCGUGGGGGUCAAACCGGAUUAGAUACCCUUGUAGGACACGCAGUAAACGAUGAAUAAUAGCUGUUUGCGAUAAACAGUAAGCGGCACAGCGAAAACGUUAAGUAAUCCCCCUGGGGAGUACGCCGGCAACCGUGAAACUCAAAUGAAUUGACGGGG